CGGCCUGUAGGAAGACCCAAGCUAGCAUUGGUGACCUGUUCCCAUCUCACCUUUGGGAAGAAGGGACAUCUCUGGCCAUCCCUUCAGGGACAAUGGAAGCUCAAGAUCACACAACGACUUAGUAUAAGGCUAAAGAGCAGCAGGGCUCCCUCUCCUGGUGUAGAAGGGCUUUCUCUGGUAGCCAUUGCAACUCUAGGCGUGGAGACUGAACGGUGAACCGCCCCGGUGAGGGCAAUCCUCCAAAACAGUGCUCACGCUUCUAUGUGCCACAACCCUUUAAUACAGUUCCUCAUGCUACGCUGACCCCCAACCGUGGAACUGUUUUCAUUGCGACUUCAUUGCUGUAAUUUUUCUACUGCUGCGUACUUCAGUGUGGAUGUUUUUGGAGACUCAGGAUUGUCAGAGGGGUCGUGACCCACAGUGUGAGAACUGCCACUCUGAACCUUUCCCCUAGGGAACUUCCCGGAUGGAUUUAGCUACAUGCAUCAAAAACCUUAGAAAGGCAUCCAUGCGCUGUGUAAACACCUUCUUCUAGGAACAGAUUAAAGGGAGGAAUUCUAAAUGUGCUGAAAGGUGUUAUAUAAGCCAGAUUUAAUACUAUUUGAAACCGAAAUAUUAGGGAAAGAAACAUUUUCUGACGGAAACAAAAACUUAUUAAGUAUAGUACGGUAAUCCUUUUUCAUCCAUGGUUUUACUUUUUACCCACAGUCGACUAUGCCUCCCAAAUAUUUUUUUUUAAAUUCUAUUGGUAAACAACUAAUAGAUUUCAAAUUUUGUACUGUCCUGCUGUGUUGUGCCUGAGGCUGUCAUAGCUAGCAGUCGUGGUCAAUUUUACAGGUCUAUGUAGAGAAAACCUUAAUUGAGAAAUCGCCACCAUAGGACUGGCUAUGGACAUGUUUCUGGGACGUUUUAGUUAUUAAUUGACAUGGGAGCAUGGAGCCCCCUGUGGGCAGUACCAUCCCCUAGCAGGUGGGUCUAGGCUGUGUUAAGAACUGUUGCUAAGCAAGCCAGAGGAAGCAAGUCAGGAGGUAGCAUUCCUUCAUGGUUUCUGCUUCAAGCCCCUGCCUUGGCUUCUCUUGAUGAUCAACUGUAAUUCCUCCCCAAGUUGGUUUUGGUCAAUGUUUUAUCGUAGUGACAGAAAGCACACUAGAACAAGGACAAGCAUCCCCCUUUUAGCCGGUGUAUACACACGGCAUAUGCGAUAUUACCUGCUAAUUACUGGCUAUCUCGGUUAUGAAAUUGACUAACACGGUAUCACAGGCAGGCCUGUGUUCUAUUAGCCCUCGCUUAAUAUAGUAAUUACUCCAUUUUGUUAUUAUUAGUGUUACUUAAUCUAACUUACAAAUUAAACCUCUCAAAGGUAGGCAUUCAUAGGGAAAACUGCAGCAUAUGUUAUGAGCUUUUGGCACCGUUUUUAGUUUAGAUAUCACAGGGGAACAUGGGACAAACCCCUCAGGCAAAACAAGUUCCUGUGUAUCUAAAUCAUGAAAUACCGCAAAUCACUAAAGUGUGGUGAAUGCAGGUAAACAAGGAAGGGUGUUUACGUUUUAUCAAGAACCUGUGAAGAUACAGGAUACAAAACAGAAUGUUAUAAGAAUUUUUGAAUAUGUAGUGUGAUUAAUUUAAAAAAAGCUUUCCUUCUAUAUAAAGCUCAUCUCAAAACGGUAUUACAAAGUGAUGGCAGCUUUACCAAAAAUAGCACUGUGAAAAAGCACACAGGCACUUUUUAAAAGUCUACAAGGAUUUUCAUCUCUGGGAAAAAGAGGAAUAUUGUUAACUAGAUAUUCAUCUGUUUUAAUUAUUCUAGAGUCCGUUUACGUAUGUAGAUGGGUGUUUUGUCUGCAUGUAUAUCUGCACAUCAGAAGAUGGCUUUGGAUCUCACGGGACUGCAGUUACAGACGGUUGGAGAAGCCAUGUGGAUGCUGGGACCUGAACUCUGGACCUCGGAGGAGCAGCCAGGGCUCUCCCUAGCCCAGUGAAUUCUAAAUACAAAGGGAAAAAUUAUAAUUUUUCUAUAUAUUUAGUCUAUAUUUUCUUUUUAAAAAAGAUGUAUUUAUGUUCAGGGGCGUUUUGUCUACAUGUUUGUCUGUGUGAGGGUAUUGGAUCCUCCAGAAUUGGAGUUACAAACAGUUGUGAGCUGCCGUGUGGGUGCUGGGAAUCCCAGUCUCCUGAAAGAACAGCUAGUGCUCACUAAACCUCUGAGCCAUCUCUCCAGUACCCUAUAUUUGUAAAAUUUCCCAGCAUACCUUAGUAACCACUCCUAGGACCACUAUAAUAGUUAAAAAUGGGAUCAGCGCCAAUGGAGAAUUUAUGAAAUAGUCACACAGUAGAAUAUCAUAUAAUACUAAAAUUAAGCCACAGCUACACAAUGCCUUGUGUCGCACAACUUUAAGCCACCGAGGCAGCCCAUGAAGUACACACAAGAUCAUCUGUUUGCCACACAAGUGUGGGGACCUGAGCUCAAAUUCUGAGCACCCACAUAAUCGGCAGAUGCAGAAGUGAGUGCUGUCUCUACCACUGCUCCUGCAAUGAGAUGGCUGGUAGAGACGGGAAAAUUCCCAGAUACCUGGCAUGUACAGCAGGACAGUAAGGCAGUAGACAUGUUCUCUCACCUCCACACAUGCACUGUAACAUGUAUGCACCUGUGUUUGCAGACACAAGAACAUAUGAGUGCAUACACACACACAAAGAAAAGGUUUGGGUUUGGGUUUGGGACAGGAUCUCAUGGAGCCGAUGCUGGCCUAGAACUCCCUAUGCAGCUGCAGACAUCGUGCACAGAUCCUCCUUUUACAUGUGUGUGCCAUCAUUCUCAGUUUUUAUGUCAUGCUGGGGAUUGAACACAUGACUUUGUGCUUGCUAGGCAAACGCCUUACGAACAUAGCCACAUUCCCCAAUCCCCAAAAGAUUUUUUGUUUUAAUUUAUGUGUA